AUUUUGCUUCUCCUGCUGCUUCAAAACAAUGGAAAAUAACAGAAGAAUAAUGAGGACGAGUGGCAGCUUGAGAUUUGUACUGCUUGGAGUUGCUGACAUGAACUGAGCUCUAAUUGCUAAGCAUCAAGGCUGCUGGCUGGCCCUGGAGAGAGAAUGCGUUGGUUUGCAUGGUGAAUUUUUGGAGUGGAUUCAUUCAUCUGCAUUAUGCUAAGACUUUUCUAUCAAUUAAAUAAUAGCAAGAGAGGUACAAAGCAUUACCUCACAAUUGACGGCCAGAUCCUUCUCCUUCAGAAACUGAUGAAGGAAUCAGAAGCUCAGUUAUUCUUGACUGGAUAUGGAUCAAUAAGGAAAACCUAAUUGAGGAAGUGGAAGGAACAGAAACAUUGCAAAUACAACGAAGUAAUAAUGGAAUUCUUAAUUUUUAGGGGAACUAAAGCUGAUUAUGGAGAGAGACUUGUGGUAUUGGAUUUUGAAAGAGUGUUUUGGUGAACUUGAAUGGUAGAUCAAUCUAAUGAUUUCAAAUCCUGUAGGAGAAAAAUAUUCAGAAAGGACUAAAAAUCCAGUUAAAUGCAUUAUUUAGAAGGAAAAGUGUGGAAACACAAAGCUUCUUAAAACACUGAAAAAAAGACACAUUUAGAUAAUUGAAGGGGGAUUGUACUAUACAAUCAAAGAUCUCUAGAGUAUUUACCAGAAACUGUGUUACAAAGACUAAAAUGCAGAAUGGGACAAACUUCAGGAGAAAUGGCAAAACAACAGCAACAAAAUGGAGUUAUUAAGAUAUGUUUUUAAAAAGGCAAAUGAAUUGUAGGUCUGUUGCAAGGAAAAAAAGGUAAAUUGGUAACAGGUGAUAGAAAAGACAA